GAUUCUUUUGUCACAGUCUGCAUUUCAUCCUAGGAUUGUCCUGAUUCCCUAAAUGAAUUGUAUUUUUUUGAGACAGGGUCUGGCAGCCUCGAACCCCUGGAGGCUUAGGUGAUCCUCCCACCUCAGCCCCCAAGUAGCUGGGACCACAGGCUCAGCUAAUUUUUACUUUUUUUUGCAGAUAUCAACCUCUCUAUGUUUCCUAGGCUGGUCUCAAACUCCUGGACUCAAGCAAUCCUCCUGCCUUAGCCUCCACAAGUGCUGGGAUUACAGGCAUGAGCAACUGCAUCCGGCUAAACAACCUCUCUUCUUGCAACACUGUUUCCUUGUGAGCUCAUUAACAUGCUAAUUACCACAUUCCACAGGAAGAUGGAUUACAGAGCAAUAAGACAGGCUGGGUUCACCCUGGAACGUGACCAGUAGUGACAGCCUCUAACAAUGACACAGGUACCGUUAUCGAUGCUGGGAGAAGAGAAAAGGACAUCAUUUUGCCCUCAGGGAGCUCAUGGUCUAACGGAGAGAGAGACAUGUGAACAACUACAACGUCUGCGGUCUAAGAAAACACUAAAUUGGAGACGUGUUCAAAGCAGUGCAGGGGAGGGAGCGGAGUGAGACUUCCGGGGUCACCCAGAAGGGCUUCCCGGCAGCUCAUCAGCUAUCAUUAUUGUAUUUUACAUGGAGCCCAAGACAAUUCUUCUUCUAACACGGCCCAGGGAAGCCAAAAGAUUGGACUUCGCCACUUUAAGAUAAGCGGUUGUUGACUUUAAGACAAAAAAGGACACUUUAUAAUGACUAAAAAAAUCAAUCCAUCAGGAAUACACACCAUUAUAAACAUAAUGUACCAAACAACUGAGCACCAAAACACAUGAAGCAAAAACUGGUAACACUGAAGGGAGAAACAGACAACUUAACAAAAGUAGUUGAAGACUUCAGUGCCCAACUUUCAAUAAUGGACGGAACAGCUAGGCAGAAGAUCAGCAAGGAAACAGAAGGCUGAACAAGCUACACCUACAGACCACUGCAGAACACCCAAUCACAGAACACACAUUCUUCUGAAGAGCACAUGAAACAUUUGCCAGGAAACAUCAAAUGCUAAACCAUAAAACAAGCCUCAAUAAAAUUAAGAGGACUGAUAUCACACACAGUCUGUUCUGUGAUCAAAAUGGAAUGAAAUUAGAAAUCGAUAAUAGAAGGAAAUUUGAGAAAUUCAUAAAUAUGUGGAAAUUAAACAACUCCUAAAUACAAAUGGGUGAAAGAAGAAAUCAGAAAAUUUAACAGUACUUGAAAUAAAUGAAAACACAAUAUACAGAAAUUUAUGGGAUGCAGUGAAAACAGUACGUACAGGGAAAUGUACAGCUAUAAACACCUAUAUUA
rnacentral:lncRNA from 1 species